rnacentral:rRNA from 1 species
AUUGAACGCUGGCGGCAUGCUUUACACAUGCAAGUCGAACGGCAGCGCGGGCUUCGGCCUGGCGGCGAGUGGCGAACGGGUGAGUAAUGCAUCGGAACGUGCCCAGUAGUGGGGGAUAGCCCGGCGAAAGCCGGAUUAAUACCGCAUACGACCUGAGGGUGAAAGCGGGGGACCGAAAGGCCUCGCGCUAUUGGAGCGGCCGAUGUCGGUUUAGCUAGUUUGUGGGGUAAAGGCUUACCAAGGCGACGAUCCGUAACUGGUCUGAGAGGACGAACAGCCACCACUGGAAUGGAACAAGGGCCCGGAUUCUGAGGGAGGGCAGAGGUGGGGAAUUUGGGAAAUGGGGGCAACCCUGAUCCAGCCAUGCCGCGUGCGGGAAGAAGGCCUUCGGGUUGUAAACCGCUUUUGUUCGGGAAGAAAUCCUCUGGGCUAAUACCCCGGGGGGAUGACGGUACCGGAAGAAUAAGCACCGGCUAACUACGUG